ACUCCUACGGGAGGCAGCAGUGGGGAAUUUUGGACAAUGGGGGCAACCCUGAUCCAGCCAUGCCGCGUGCGGGAAGAAGGCCUUCGGGUUGUAAACCGCUUUUAGCCGGGAAGAAAAGGCACUCUCUAAUACGGGGUGUUCUUGACGGUACCGGCGGAAUAAGCACCGGCUAACUACGUGCCAGCAGCCGCGGUAAUACGUAGGGUGCGAGCGUUAAUCGGAAUUACUGGGCGUAAAGCGUGCGCAGGCGGUUCGUUAAGUCAGAUGUGAAAGCCCCGGGCUCAACCUGGGAACUGCAUUUGAAACUGGCGGGCUUGAGUGCGGCAGAGGGGGGUGGAAUUCCGCGUGUAGCAGUGAAAUGCGUAGAGAUGCGGAGGAACACCGAUGGCGAAGGCAGCCCCCUGGGCCGACACUGACGCUCAGGCACGAAAGCGUGGGGAGCAAACAGGAUUAGAUACCCUGGUAGUCCACGCCCUAAACGAUGCUCACUAGGUGUUGGGGAAGCGAUUCCUUGGUACCGUAGCUAACGCGUGAAGUGAGCCGCCUGGGGAGUACGGCCGCAAGGUUAAAACUUAAAGGAAUUGACG
rnacentral:rRNA from 1 species